UACGGAGGGGGCUAGCGUUGUUCGGAAUUACUGGGCGUAAAGCGCGCGUAGGCGGACCUGCAAGUCGGGGGUGAAAGCCCGAGGCUCAACCUGGGAACUGCGUCCGAUACUGGCAGGCUUGAAUUCGGGAGAGGGAUGCGGAAGUUCCAGGUGUAGCGGUGAAAUGCGUAGAUAUCUGGAGGAACACCGGUGGCGAAGGCGGCAUCCUGGACCGAGAUUGACGCUGAUGCGCGAAAGCCAGGGGAGCAAACGGG
rnacentral:rRNA from 1 species